UGGGGAAUUUUGGACAAUGGGCGCAAGCCUCAUCCAGCAAUGCCGCGUGCAGGAAGAAGGCCUUCGGGUUGUAAAACUCUUUCAGCGGGGACGAUAAUGACGGUACCCGCAGAAGAAGCUCCGGCUAACUUCGUGCCAGCAGCCGCGGUGAUACGGAGGGGGCAAGCGUUGUUCGGAAUUACUGGGCGUAAAGGGCGUGUAGGCGGGCGAUCAAGUCAGAGGUGAAAGGCCUGGGCUCAACCUGGGAACUGCCUUUGAAACUGAUAGUCUAGAGUCCGGGAGAGGAUGGCGGAAUUCCCAGUGUAGAGGUGAAAUUCGUAGAUAUUGGGAAGAACACCAGUGGCGAAGGCGGCCAUCUGGUCCGGUACUGACGCUGAGGCGCGAAAGCGUGGGGAGCAAACAGGAUUAGAUACCCUGGUAGUCCACGCCGUAAACGAUGUGUGCUAGCCGUUGGGGAACCUAGUUUCUCAGUGGCGCAGCUAACGCGUUAAGCACACCGCCUGGGGAGUACGGUCGCAAGAUUA
rnacentral:rRNA from 1 species